rnacentral:lncRNA from 1 species
UUCUCAUUGUAGGGAAACUGAUUGAUAUUAACAUGACGUGUUAACGGCUUUACAAUAGGCACAUUAUCCAGUAGAGUUUAGUUGUUUCUUACUUUUACAACGGCUCCAAGCGAAGCUUAGAAACGAACCAAACGAUUCAUUCGCGAGGCAAGAUAGCACACAUCCUUCCACGCCGUAAGCAUUUCACUGGUACAGGACACGAGGAGAGAAAAGGUCAGUCUCUUGAGAAGUUCAGCCAACUUUCUGAGCGUAAAUAAGUUUGCAGUUGCUAACCUCGGGGUAGCAGUCCUGAUGUACUAUAGUUUGGUUGUGUGGAUUAACAUGAACCACGCAAGAUAUUCUCCCCUGCAAGAAGCCAAGAACAAUCAUUAAAUCCUUGUUCGAUUAUUCCUAUCCCAUGUGGAUUGGAUGAGAUUAGAAAAAAUAUAAAAGAUUUUGAUUUGUUUGGGAUUUAAACCCACCGUUAAGCCAUGUGGAUUGGAUGAUAUUGAGUCGGUUUAAAUCUAUAGUAAGUUAAAAUACAUCUCAAUCCAUUUCAAUAUACUAUACUCCAAUCCACGUGAAAUUAUAAUAACCGAACAAGGCCUCAAUCUUAUCCAAUCCACCUAGAUUGAGAGCAAAACGAACAUAGCCUGAAUCUUGAUUCAGAAGGACAACACGUGGAUCAUACGGAGUAUACAGUGCAAGAAAAAGAACCAAUAACGUUCACUUCUGGACAAUAUUUUAAGCCUAAUAUUCAUCCAAAUCUUUUUGUUUACUGCAACAAUAAAAACCUCUAGCUUGUGCGAGCUACAGGCACUGGUGGAUCUUUCACAAAAUUGUAAAUAAAAAAUUGUUUGCUUAUACGAAAUUUGAAUACAAUAUACAAGAAUAAAUAAAGUAACAAUAGCAACCCAACCCAGGAAUUUGACAGAUAGCCAUUAGAUCAAUGGAACCAUGAACAGUCUUGCAGUCAUACAACAACAUUACCAGUUUAUCACCAUAGAGCUAUGUUAAUAAACCACCUAUUUUACAGAAAUAUAGUAACACAAAUACACACAUAGAAGUACUUCUCUAGCAUGUGAAACCAAAAAAGGGUAGAAUUAAAAGUAGUUCCAGCAGAAAAUUUUCUAAUUUCUAGGAUAUUGCAAUUUUUUCAAUAAAAUGAAGAACCAGGCCUACUGCAAUGGAAAUUCCACAAUGAAAACUUUGCACUGGUCAUCAGUCUCCAUGUAAUCAGUGGAACAAAACUAACCAUGGCACAGGAUUACGCAUAGGCUUAUAAAUAUGACCUGCUCCUCUAAAGCCUAAUCCUCCAACAAUAUUCUGGAAGAGAGAAAAAAGAGGAAGAUUUGUUGUUUCAUGGCUAAAACAACUGUAUCUUGUUGCAGCUAUAUGCCAAAACAACUAUAUCCAAAUGCAAAAACCAAGUAGGGCAACUUGACAUGCCUUAUAUCUAUCAACAUUGCUUAAGGCUUUACUUGACAAAUUAAGAUGAACACUUCAUAUUUUAUUCUAGCAGAUAGCAGGAUUACGAAAAAACAACAUCCAUGCUACACUGUUUCAUUUGUUCAAUGAGACAAUAGUUUUCCUCAGUUCCUAAGUGGAAAGUGCAAGCGAUAAAUUUCAUUAACUAGCACUGUCUUUUCCUUUGAACGGAAAUCCUUCAUUUGGGCAUUAAAAACAAAAAAUACUUAAGCAAUAUAGCCUCCAUACCAGUAGUUCCAUAAAUCCGUAGAGAAGUGGUACCACGAAGUGAGAAAUGAUAACAGUUAAAGACACAAGGAACAUGUGAAAUGUUGACGAGUAUUCUUCUUCUCAUGUGUUAUUAGAUCUAUCACUACUCUCCCUCUUACUAGGUAUCCCUUAAUGAUUG